rnacentral:rRNA from 1 species
CUGGGCGUUAAGUUGCAGGGUAUAGACCCGAAACCCGGUGAUCUAGCCAUGGGCAGGUUGAAGGUUGGGUAACACUAACUGGAGGACCGAACCGACUAAUGUUGAAAAAUUAGCGGAUGACUUGUGGCUGGGGGUGAAAGGCCAAUCAAACCGGGAGAUAGCUGGUUCUCCCCGAAAGCUAUUUAGGUAGCGCCUCGUGAAUUCAUCUCCGGGGGUAGAGCACUGUUUCGGCAAGGGGGUCAUCCCGACUUACCAACCCGAUGCAAACUGCGAAUACCGGAGAAUGUUAUCACGGGAGACACACGGCGGGUGCUAACGUCCGUCGUGAAGAGGGAAACAACCCAGACCGCCAGCUAAGGUCCCAAAGUCAUGGUUAAGUGGGAAACGAUGUGGGAAGGCCCAGACAGCCAGGAUGUUGGCUUAGAAGCAGCCAUCAUUUAAAGAAAGCGUAAUAGCUCACUGGUCGAGUCGGCCUGCGCGGAAGAUGUAACGGGGCUAAACCAUGCACCGAAGCUGCGGCAGCGACGCUUAUGCGUUGUUGGGUAGGGGAGCGUUCUGUAAGCCUGUGAAGGUGUGCUGUGAGGCAUGCUGGAGGUAUCAGAAGUGCGAAUGCUGACAUAAGUAACGAUAAAGCGGGUGAAAAGCCCGCUCGCCGGAAGACCAAGGGUUCCUGUCCAACGUUAAUCGGGGCAGGGUGAGUCGACCCCUAAGGCGAGGCCGAAAGGCGUAGUCGAUGGGAAACAGGUUAAUAUUCCUGUACUUGGUGUUACUGCGAAGGGGGGACGGAGAAGGCUAUGUUGGCCGGGCGACGGUUGUCCCGGUUUAAGCGUGUAGGCUGGUUUUCCAGGCAAAUCCGGAAAAUCAAGGCUGAGGCGUGAUGACGAGGCACUACGGUGCUGAAGCAACAAAUGCCCUGCUUCCAGGAAAAGCCUCUAAGCAUCAGGUAACAUCAAAUCGUACCCCAAACCGACACAGGUGGUCAGGUAGAGAAUACCAAGGCGCUUGAGAGAACUCGGGUGAAGGAACUAGGCAAAAUGGUGCCGUAACUUCGGGAGAAGGCACGCUGAUAUGUAGGUGAAGUCCCUCGCGGAUGGAGCUGAAAUCAGUCGAAGAUACCAGCUGGCUGCAACUGUUUAUUAAAAACACAGCACUGUGCAAACACGAAAGUGGACGUAUACGGUGUGACGCCUGCCCGGUGC